AGUCAAUCUGCCCUAAGGACGGGAGCAACCUCGGGAAACUGAUGUCAAUUCCCGAUGCUUCACCUAUGCUGGAAUGCUUGGUGAGGAAAAUGCGCGGUGAAUCGUCUCCUUUGCGCCUUAGGAUGAGACUGCUCCUGAUUAGGUAUUUGGUGAGGUAACGGCUCACCAAGCCGAUAAUCAGUAAGGGCAAUGGGAGUUGGCGCCCCGAGAAGGGCACUGAGACAAAGGCCCUAGUCCUACCGGAUGCAUCCAGCGCCAAACCU
rnacentral:rRNA from 1 species